UUGACGGGGCCCGCACAAGCGGUGGAGCAUGUGGUUUAAUUCGAUGCAACGCGAAGAACCUUACCAAGGCUUGACAUACACCGGUAACGCCCAGAGAGUGGGUGCCCCGUUUGUGGUCGGUGGACAGGUGGUGCAUGGUUGUCGUCAGCUCGUGUCGUGAGAUGUUGGGUUAAGUCCCGCAACGAGCGCAACCCUCGUCCUAUGUUGCCAGCGGGUCAUGCCGGGGACUCAUGGGAGACUGCCGGGGUCAACUCGGAGGAAGGUGGGGAUGACGUCAAGUCCUCAUGGCCUUUAUGACCAGGGCUACACACGUACUACAAUGGCCGGUACAAAGGGCAGCGACACAGCGAUGUGAAAGCCAAUCCCGAAAAGCCGGUCUCAGUCCGGAUUGGAGUCUGCAACUCGACUCCAUGAAGUUGGAAUCGCUAGUAAUCGUGGAUCAGCACGCCACGGUGAAUACGUUCCCGGGCCUU
rnacentral:rRNA from 1 species